rnacentral:rRNA from 1 species
UACGUAGGGGGGCGAGCGUUUGUCCGGAUUUAUUGGGCGUAAAGAGCGUGUAGGCGGCCAGGUAGGUCCGUUGUGAAAACUCGAGGCUCAACCUCGAGACGUCGGCGGAAACCCUCUGGCUAGAGUCCGGAAGAGGAGAGUGGAAUUCCUGGUGUAGCGGGUGAAAUGCGCAGAUAUCAGGAAGAACACCAGCGGCGAAGGCGGCGCUCUGGGCCGGUACUGACGCUGAGGAGCGAAAGCGUGGGGAUCAAACAGG